rnacentral:rRNA from 1 species
GACGAACGCUGGCGGCGUGCCUAACACAUGCAAGUCGAACGAAGAGCGACGGAGCCUUCUUUCUUUCAAUCAUAGGCGCGAGCGUGUGUAACACGUGUAAUCAAUCUCCCCUUCAGUGGGAUACCACAGGUGGACACGACUUCUUAUAGCGUAUACGUUCUAAUCUCAUCAUCUAUGAUGGAUAAAAGGUGUUGCCUACAUGUAAGCUAUCACUGAAGGAGAGUAUUGCGUUUGAUUAGGUAGUUGGUGGGGUAACGGCCCACCAAGGCGAUGAUCAGUAGCCGGGCUGAGAGGGUGAACUGCCACACAGGGACUGAGACACGGCCCAGACUCCUACGGGAGGCAGCAGUGGGGAAUCUUCCGCAAUGGACGCAAGUCUGACGGAGCAACGCCGCGUGAGUGAUGACGGGGUUCGGGUUGUAAAGAUCUGUUUAACGGGACGAAAGGCUAUCUUGAGAAAAAGUACACGGAUUGACGGUACCGGAAUAGAAAGCCACGGCUAACUACGUG